rnacentral:sRNA from 1 species
UUUAAAAACUUCGAAUUAUCUGCUAUUAAUGGCGUUACAACCCAAAAACUUCCCUAACACGGCAUUUCGGUUUAAAAGAACCGGAAUUCCCUCACCGUUUAUUCGAAUAUAAAAAGUAAAAUAUUUCCAAAAAGUUAAAAAAUAUUCCCAAUGGACCUUUUCUUGUUUAUAAAGGCCGUCCGUUUUCCAGGAACGUGCGUAACGAUUCCAAACGUACCGAAUUGUCCCAUAUUUGCCGGCCUUAUUAAAUGAAAUAUAUAUUAUGCGAAAAUUAAUUUUAUAUUGGCGGUUACCCCGUGGGCUCCGCCGCUUUUUAUCGAUAGGUCGUACAAUAUUGCGUCUUUGGUCGUUUUCGACAUAAAGGUCUUUCGAAAAGCGAGUUUUUUGGCGGCAGAUAAAAUUAUCGCCGCGGAAACGUUCGAUUUUUACGGGUGCUUUUCGAAUACCAAAUAAUUAUAUUAAUUGGUUUUUCGACAUUAAAUUGGGAGGCGUUAUAUUUGGUCGGCAAAUUAAAAAUAAAGAGGUGGAUGGUAUUUUACCUGCAAUAUUCGGCGAGCAGGGCGCCAGUGGGUUUCCCAAUGUUCCAAAAUUAUAAAACCACCAUUUAAUAUGCCACAAUUUAAUAUUAAUAGCGUAUAUUUCGUCCCAGUUUGUUGACGCAAAUUAAAAUCCCCAAAAACACGGAUCCGAAUCCAAACUGACCAGAUUGGAAUCGGCAAAAGGAACGGAUAAGGAAUCGCCGGGGAGGUGGGUAGUCGGUUUGACAAAUGAAAACCGUAAUUAAUAGUUUUAUAUAAGAAACGAAAGCAAGCCAUUGUAAAAAUUUGAAAGAUUUAUAGUGAGAUUUCCAAAAUCGUCGGUAGUUAAUUUAGCAUUUGUGUUAAAAGAUACCAAACCAAAAGGCGUGUUUUUAAAAGAUUAAAAUAUAAUAUUUAACGAUCGAGUAUAAAAAAGAACGCAGCGGCUGUUCGUGGUAAGGGGUUUUUUAAACCUUGCGGCCGUACGAGAAAGAUAAAGUGAGUAAGUUUUAAAGGGUAGGGAGGAAAAAAAAAAGCAUGUUUUCGGGAAGGAGGGCAAAGGACUCCUUAAUAUAAAUAAUAAAUAAUUUCGGCGUUUGGGUCAAUUUUAUAUUAUCAGGUAAUAUUUCGAGAUCCAGGUUGAAAAUAAUAUUUCCUAUUAAACCUAAUAAAUAUUUGCUUGUUACCCUGAUAAAUAGAUUUGUUAUUGCCGCAGUGGGGCAACGCGAUACGGGUGGGUUUUUAUAUAUAAUUAUUUUAUAAAACGUAAUAUUCCGAUCCUGUUAAACUGGAUAACGAACGCCUUGGGAAUAUACGGUAUCCACACGCCGCAAUAUUUAUAACCUGCUGGUUUAAAAUAUUAAUAUAGCUUUUCGCUGCUUAUUACCCCUCUAUAAUAUAGAAUCUAAUUACGUUUUGCGUGGGAGUAAUAUUUAUUUCCUUGGCCAUUAUACCGAACAAGGUAUUUGUAUUUCCUUCCACCUCUUAAAUAUAAUAAACAGGCCAAAAUUUACGCUAAUGUAAAUAAAGUCGUUAUAUAUAUGGACCAGUUUGCCCUCCCGUUUUAAAAGGACGUUAUUAUAUUUUAACCGUAAUAAUGUAUAAUAUAUUAAUUCGGUAUUUACCGUAAUGUCCACCUCUGCCCAUUGCGCCCAAUUUAAAAGAAUAUGGUAAAACCUCCUGCAAAUUAAAAAUACCGUAAAAUCUGCCCUAUUAUACCUUUCGUUUUCUUUAAAGUAUUUUCGUUAGAAAUAAUAAUAGGUUAAUAAUUUAUACCGACCUUUUCCAAUAA